AAAAUAACAAUUUUAAUACUGUACCUGUAGUGCAGGCGAUUCCGCCCACCAUUCAACUCAAUGUAAUUUUGACUACACUUGAUUUUCGCUUUACACGCUAACCGUGGAACGGAACCCCCGUGUAAGAUGAGACUCGCCUGUAUAAAAUCAAAGUAGCAAACUAGUAAAUAGCUAUGUUGGCUCCUGCUGCAUAGGAAUUCAAGGGGAAAAAUUGCCCAAUACAUGUAGUGAGGAUAAAAGACAAUCGGUAGAAAAUAAUUUUCAAGAUUAAGACUACGUUGCAAUCAAAGACUAAAGAAAAUAUUAAAAUUGUGUAUAUUUAAGAAGUAUCUCCUUUUAAACCAGACUUUUUUAUUGGAUAGAGGAGUGAAAAAUAAAUCCGAUUGCUAUUUGAUAUAGUUUUGGGAAAAAUAAGUUUGUAUGGCUUGUUUAUUUUAGAAGUUAAAAUAUAUUUUAGACCCUUUCAUAUAUUGCCUCCCUUGUUUUGUUGCAAAAAAUUAUUAUAAUAGUUUUUUAUGUUCUUGUACUUUCUUUGUAGCUGAUUUAAAUCCAAUUGAGACAGCACCAUAAAUCAGUCACUGUUUAAUGCAAUUGAAUUUUGUACUAAGAGGAAUUAAGUAGUACAGUUUUAACCACACAUGAUGGGAUCUUCAAAAGCACUUGAUGUUGGCCUACCUCUGCUCAUGCUAAAGUUGAUAGUAAAUUUGGCAAAGGCUGAUCGCUUUUGAAAAUCCUACCCACAGUUGCUUAGACAGGGAAUUGAAAUGUGAUAAAUCAUUUUAUUUCAGGUAAUUAAAACAAUGCUUGUUGUCUAUCCAGCAUGGAAAGUAUAUUGCAUACUGUAAUGGAAAAAGCUGUGUUUUCUAACUUAUCUCCCAAAAUUGGUCCACUCAAGAGUUUUAUGGCUACAUUGAUGCAAGAAAAAACAGUAAGGACAGGGACAGUGUGGUACUGUCCUCGUUAAGAAUAUUCAUUUGAUUUUUAUCAAAGCUAUCUUGUGAUGUAUUAAGUGCAUAUGCUGAUAAAGUGGAUUUCCACACUCUGACAAAAGAGUGCACAGCUAAUCUAAUGACCUGUAAUGAUUGCUGAUUUUAUAAUCUGGAAUUGUAUGCUAUGUGCAAUGUGAUUAAAGAAUCGAAUUAUUGUUUCUUUGCAAAUUUUAUCAGACCAAAGCCCAAAUUAUUUGUUGGGUAUUCCUGAAGCCAUCAUUAACCUAGAAGUUCAGAUUCUUCCUUGAAGGUGGAUGUACUGUGCAAUUUUUCAAAAACCAUUUCCUUUUAAAGACGUGUUGCCAUAUUCUAAUUUUUUGGUUUUUACAUAAGAGUAGCCACAGUGUAAGUGUUUAAAAAGGCCCUGGGUCAAGUUUCCCUCUUCCAAUCCAUCUAAUUAUCAACAUUACCUUGUAAAAGGUCGUUUUCUAUUAGAAUUGUCACACUAUGGACUCCUUAUGUCAGGGGUCCCCAACACAGUGCCCACGGGCGCCAUGGUGCCUAUGGAGUAUCCAAAUGCACCUGCAUCCUGGCUGGUGUUGAAGCAUCUGCUGAAAUGCUGCUGAAUUUCUGCGGCAUUUCGUCGGCGACGCCUCUCGAUGACGCCACUUGCUGCCGACAAGUGACGUCAUGGAGAGGCGUUGUCGCUGAAAUGCCGUAGAAAUUCGGCGGCAUUUCAGCGGAUGCUCCACCGCCGCCACGAGGAAAAGGUUGGGGACCACUGCCUUAUGGUGUUAAUUCUCAUUGGAUGGCUUCAGGUAUUUAUAGAUGACCAUCUCAGAGGAUGUCUAGUUUAUAAAUAUUACUCAGUCUUGCAAAUAGAUUUCAACAUAAUAUAAACCUUAAUUGAGGUUUGUUUCUGUUCUCUCAUCCUUGCACUCCAUUCCUAGAAGAGUUGCUAUAUUAAGGGGACAAAAUAUCUCUGCUGGACACACCUACCAGGAAUACGUUUGAUUCACUGCUUAGGUGACUGGCAGAAGAAUAUUUAUUACUGAAUUUUAGUAAGACUCCUGUUAUACUAUAAACCCUCAUGAGAAACAUACUGUACGUUAUCAAACAUAUAUUUUUCUAAAUUGCCUUCCAUUCUUGUCUAUAGUAUUUGGAAGAAGUCUGUAUGAGAAAAGGGCUGGAUACUUGUUUUUCUGCAUGUGUGACGUGAAUUAAUUUCUGAUGUCUGCUUAAUUUCCAGGAGGAAAUAAGAACACACACAACUUCACACUUUCCUAAUCCCUAAAGUCACUCCAGUGUAAAUUUUAAGAAAUAUUAGAUAUUUUUUCACAUGAUUCUCUGCAACAAUACUUCAUUUAGAAUCCUUUAUCCAAGAAAUUUUAAAUCCUACCCAGCGGUCUGCAAACUAAUUGCAUUUUGCAGAAUUUAGAUUCCAAACCCUUAAGUCAGCUUGUGUGUGGAAAAUCAAACCUUUGAUAUGUUCAGUUUUUGGAACCGUCACCUCUUGAAUGUAGAUUUAUAUUUGAUGUAAAUUUUACCCCUUACCAUUCAGAACAAUUAAAAUCCCAAGUAGUUGGGAGUACCAUAUUAGCAAAAGGACACAGUUUUUCUUUUUCAUUAAGGAGCACACUUCUCUGUCCAGCUUAAACAAGAAAACAAAAACCUCCAAAAUAAAUUUAAUGUUCACUGUGAAAUUUCAGGAAAGAGGCAGCAGUGAUAAAACAUAAUCAAAUGGUAAGCUUGGGAAUUAAGUCAAUUCAAAGGGCAAGUAUAAGUAACAGUGUUGUAUGUCUUGUUUUGAUCAAUCAAGCUGAAGUAGUACCACCAAGGUGCUCCUAUGAGCAGCCCCAACAGAAACCAGUGAGGCUGUUCACAUGAGCAAGGGCUGCAGGAUCAGUCCCUUGAACUGCCAACUCUGCAUGUCUAUACUCCAUGUGUGCAUUCAUCAGUGUUCUAAUGGUAAUACGUUGAACAUAGUCUAGAAAUUGCACUAAUGUAAUGCAAUAGUUGACUUUUUUGGUUAAAAAUUUUGCAACAUGCAGAGCAUGUUUGUAGGAAAACUUGCAAUGAUUUUUCUUCAAGCAUUUAACCCUUUUUUACAUCUAUCCCUGUAAAAUAAGUGUAUACAUUGUGUAAACUUUGUUGUAACUGGUAACUUUUACAUGUAUUUUUUGUACUGUGAAUGACUUAUUUGAUAGAGGAAAAAAACAUUAGGCCUAGUUAAUUUUGUGAGCAAUGGUAACAGGACCUAUCUAGUUAUUGGUUUGCUGCACUAGCUAAGAAUUGUGCGGAUAAUAAAGUAGUGCUGUGUGUUGACAGAUUAACAGUAAAUAAUCUGAGGUCUCAGCCUCAUGGAAAUUUUUAAUCUGUAGUUCUCUAAUGGGAGGACAUUCCAAAAUGUGAGUGCUUGAUAUGGAAUGUGCAACUUGUGUAUUAAAGUAUUUUCAGAAAUAUUAAAUGCUUUUUUCAUAUUUUGUUAGUGUCAGGCUGUUGAUUAAACCACGAUCUCCAACCUACAUCUACAUUUAUAGGAAAGUCUUUUUACCAUACACUCUGAAGAUGAAGUUGUCCAUUCCACUUCUUGUCCGGCUGAGCCUUAUUGCUUGUACAACUGGCUGUGGCUUUCUAUGCAAUGCAUAAAAAACUUGUUUUACAUAUAGGUCAAGAACUUUGCCUGUAUUAUUGAAUGUAUAGAAAAAAGGGAUGCCACUGUGUAAUGAAUGAGUUCCUUGAUAGCAGACAAAAGAUACUCCCAUAACUUAAAUUCCUUCGACUGCAUCAGAAAUUCCUGUAACUUCCCAACUUAGUCUUCAUUUUUUUUUAUUUAUUUAUUACAGGGUAUGUGGGAGGGACUUGUUUGAGGAAUGACAAUUGCCAAGGAGAGAGAUUAGUACCACAAGAUAUUCUGCUUCAAAGUUCUAGGGGAUGGAGUUGCGUGCCACACAUCACAGCAUGUUAUUGUUUCUGAAACUGCUGACUACAAAUGCUUAUGUAAAAACAGGCAUUUGCUGCCUAUUUCUAUGCCCCAUAAAGGACCAACAUUUCUUGGAAUAUAGGCUGUCUUUUAGUUGCAUUUUUUAAAAAAAUGCUGUAAUUAUCCAAGGACAUCACUUCUGACAUCGCUAACUACUGUUCAUCCUUUGUUCUUAUCCUGUAUUAGUUUUUGUGCCAGAACAGUACACCUUUCUGGCCUUACUAACUUUUUAAAGAGAAAUGGGUGAACACUUGAUUACAACAUUAUAGUGCAGAAAUUGUCAGGUAGUCGCUGUGACAGUGUUGACCAUUGUCUUGCAAUAGUUUGGCUACUUAAACUUUUCUUAUUUGUAAUGUUCACUGUCACAUAAAUUAUGCUCUGCAAAAAGAAGUUCAGGUGGAAAGCUACUUUGUCCAACUCUCAGUCAUAAAAGAAUAGAAAAAUCAUUACUGGUAAGCAUGAUUUCAUGUUGGAUUCAUGUACUGAAAAAAAAAUUUUUAAUUGUAAUUGUUUCACUGAUUGUUACAAAGCAUGAUGAAGAAUUAUUGUUAUAUUAAUUCAAGAAGGUAGCUGUUAAAGGUCUAGCUAAAACUUCUAUGAAACAAAGAUGUUGAGUAUUAAGUAACUUAUGCCACUGGUUACAGACAGUACAUACUUUACCCUUCAUUUAAGUAUCUUUUCAUAAAACAAAUCUAUUGAACUAAUCAGUAGCAACUGUACAAAGGAAUUACAAUCAGGCAGCGUUUAGAGUGUAGACUCUAGCCUUCUCCUUAAUCUGCUAGAUAUUAGUGACACAUUUCUUGAGCAGUUUUAAACUAAAUAUUAGGUGAGGUCUAGUGGAAUUCUGUACUUGAUAACUAAUUCUUGUUCUGUGGUUGCCUUGGGCUGUUUGCAGCAGAGAGGUUUUGUAGACAGUGGUUGUCAACCUGUUUUCAUUUGUGGACCCCUAAAAAUUUUUGAAUGGAAAGUCUGAACCACUGAGAAAUCUUAGACAUAGUCUGCAGAUCCCCAGAGGUCUGCGGACCAUAGGUUGAAAACCACUGUUGUAAAUUGGCUUUGCAAGUCACAGACGCUUCUGUCUGUUUCUUUCUCAGUUAAUACUUUUGGCGUUUUAUCUGCCUGUUGUUUGGUGAAGAAAGAAACAUCCAAAAAUCUUACUAUACAUUCUGGUUCUAACAGAAAAAUGUAACAUAUUCUACAAUUAGCUUUUUCUCUGAUUUUUAUUUAAAAUGUAUCUUCAGAGGUGGAACUAACAAUGCCUUUAAUUGGUUUGGGGACUCUGUCUUUUCAUGCUUGCUGUAGGCCUGAAGCUGGCUUGCACACCCAUUUAACAUGGGGAGAACUAAAAUGGUUAGACAAGACUGAGAGUUGUCAUUAUUUCAAUUUGGAAAAAUAGGCAGUCCCAUUAGACAGUGAUGGUGGGGUGGGAUAUUGGACAGAAAAAUGUUGAAAAUAUAAAACAUACUAUGUCCCCUAACCUAAAAUACUGUUUGGGUCUGGCCACCCUAUCAGUGGCUAUAGCAGAAAUGGGAAUUCAGCAUAAGGGAAUAAGUCUUCAUUGGUAGAGAGAAACUUCCAUGUGAAGAGAGCCCCAAUCUUUCAGUCUAUUUGAAAGGUUGAUGAAAGUCAAAGGAUAGAAAUACAAAAUUGUGCUAUAGAAAAAGAGGUAAAUCAGGGCUCUUAUUUAUCCUCCUAGCAUAAAAGAUCACAGGGAUAUUGUGAAACUCAAUGCCGUAUCUUGUGGAGGCUUAUGAGUAUUCAAGAAAGGAUUUGAUGUUUGUGGAAUAAAAAUAAUCUACAAUUACACUAGGUAGGAUACAAAAUUGGAAAGAAUAUAAACUCACCUUUCAGGACACAUUAACCACCUUCCUGCUAAGGACUAAAAGGAAACUUCCCCUCUGCCUAGUUAUUGUAUAAUUGUCUGAACCUUUGUCUGAGGCAUCAAAAUGCUGCCAUUGAAAACAGGAUAAUGAAAUAGAUGGCCCACUACCCUGAUCUAGUAUGGCAGUUACUAUGUUCUUACGACUGCGAAAAGGCAAAAAAUUAAGUUUUAGCAGCCACCAAACAAGUUUCCAGUAGCAGAGCAUAAAAUGAAAAGCUUGUCCUGUUUAUAGAAUAGUCAGUAAGUUGUGACUAGCGAAAUCUUGAUCUUCAGCACAGCAUCAAUUUAACUCAAAGCAAUCGGUUAAAGGUUAAUUUAUUGCCCAAAACAGAGCAGGUUUUGAAAUAUGUUUAGGCACUUGUAAACUAGCCUUUGCUGUAUCUCCAGAUGGCUUAAAUCUUUAACCAGUUUUUAAGCCACCUCACCAGGUCUCAGAAAGGAGUUUGAUCUGGGAAAUCUUUUAUUGGGGAUAUCUCUGGGCCUGUAAAAGGGAACUGAACUACUGCUAGAACAUCCAAGAUGUGUGUAAAAUCACUGCCUGGCAAGCCCUGGAAUUUUAUCUAAUUUAGGAUUUCAUCUCAUGAAUAACUAGAUCCAGUCUAGAAACCAACUGCUCACAGGCUUUGAGAGAUUCCUAUUGGCAGGAAACUUUUCAACUUGCUUCAAAGAAUAAGUGAAUCUGAAGAUUUGUGACUGUUGAAGCUAAAACAGCCCAGUCUCAAAACACUUACACUACAUACUCCUGGCUCCUAUGGAAAGAUUGACCUGAUCUUGUUUAGCUUUAAAGUAAUCUCGAAUAGUCUCCUCAGCUCACUUUUGUUCCUCUUCAGCCUUAAGAAUAUCCUGUUCAGCAAUAUCGUCCUUUAAAAGAAGAAAGUGUCCAGUUGUAUUUACUGACAAGCCUCUAAAUCUCAGUAAAGAGACGAUGGUCAUACUGUGUCAACUGAGAGCGGUCUGUACAUAUUUUGAGGGCAGACAGUGUCCCAUAGUCGUAACGCACAUCCUUGCCAGUACUCAGGAUAAUUUGGUCUGGCGAGCCAUGGGACCAGCAUUUGUACAGAAUGUCGCACUCUUAAAGCUAGCAUAAUUAGACAUCUGGGACUUCUUCCAGCACUGGAGAACCCCCAAGUACCAUGGGGUGGAAUAGCAGCUCCUUUGCCACCUCCUCCCAAGCCUCCAAGACCAGGAGCUGUGAAGAGUGGAAAGGAGAUGUAUCCUGAGCCUUGGCAAUCCCAACAAGCCCCAGGCCAUUGGCAGCUACUGUAACGUAGCUCAGCCCUGAGCCUGCUCUUUGGGGAGCAGACCAGCAACUCAAGGAUCAGGGGCAAGAAAGUACUGUCCACCUUUGUGCUUCUCUCUCCACCCAAGCUGUGAUGACCACCAGUGAUACCAAGGAUCUGGCUAAUGGUUCUUACUGAACAGCAAUAUUUAAACUGUUCUCAGUUCCCAUGAGUAGUUGUUUUAAACAUGAAUCGCCCCAGCUGCCUGUGUCAGUAGUGAAGCACCUGCAUUGAGAGGCCUCUGGCUUUUCCUAGGAUGUCCCUUUGCCGCUUAGAGCACUUGUCCAACAAGAGCUUUGCUCCCCUCUCUGCCUAAGUACAGGGAGAGCUGUCGCUGCCAAGGUGUUCAGCAGUUACCAGCUCUCAUGUUUUUUGAAAGUAGAGGGGCAUAUUUCAGACCUUAGCACUUCUUUUUGUGUUCACACUGCAUUUGUGGCCACAACCUGGAUACCAAUAUUUGAAUAUCUAGCCUACUAACAGAAAAAUGUGAAAAAGUAGACUUUUCUUUCCAUAGGGCCCAACACAAAGCACCCUCUUUCUGAAAAGAGGCUAGAAUGCAUACAAUGCAUUUGGUAAAUCGCAAAUCAGAACUAAACAGCGGAUGCAGUUGACUGUAACAAAGAACAGCUGCUGUGCUGAGUGGGGUUGUCUAUUUACAAUGGAAGAAACUGAUGAAGCAGUAAAGGAGUAUUUCAUACACUUAUAUCCUAAAAUUACAACACUAGGUACACAUUUUCCUAGGGGGAGUUAAGCUGCCACGCUCAUCAAGGUGAGAACAUACAUUUGACACCCCCCCCCCAACAUUAUUAGAAAGGGUGAUGAUCCACAACGUUAUUGCAUGGCCUACCACUGUGCAUGUUACCACCUUACUGAAAAUACUGGACUGACUUUAAAAAUAAAAGUGAAAUACAUGACAGAAUGGUAUAGAAGAAAUUACCUUAAACAGCAAACUCAGAGCCUGAUUUAAAAUAGCACUUGUAAGAGCAUGGCUUCUCUCAUGUUUAAGUCUAGAAUUGUGAUUCAGCAAUAUCUAUCGAGUUAGGCUUUUGUGUCAACCCAGUGAGUGAUUUGAGGAAAGGGGGAGUUUGAACUAAUAAUAAUAAUAGUAAUAACCUAUAAGAUAAAUAGCCUGUGCAUACAGAGAUUUUUUUUAUUUAGAGGGUCAUAUUUAGAAGUAUCCUUAUUAGUUAUAGUGUAUGUAUUCAAAUCAUUUUUAUUAUAUAUUCAUAUUUAAUGUUGUAGGUAGGUGAAAUGCAUUUGUUCUGAUUUAAAUAAAAUCCCAAUAUUUUUGAACAGCCAGUUGUAUUAUCUUGUCUACCAUUAAAUAACCUUUAUCACUGUAUAACACACCCCCGCUCCCUCCCUGCUCUCACCUGCUGAGUAAAUUAUACCACCACUAAAUCUUGGUCAGUGGUUUGGGGAUGGAGUGACUCUCGGAUGUAUUUCAGAUUAUAACACACUAACCGUACUCUAAGAGGUCAGUUAUCUACACAUGUACAUGGGAGAGUGUGUGCAAGGAUCUCUGUGUAUGCAUCACACAUCUCCUAUCACUCUCCUAGUUAACCCCUCUCUAGUUCCCACCAUCAGCCACACUUACCCUAGGCUCCAUUUUGAAGUCCUUAUCUUGUCCCCCUCCAUCCUUCCUCUGGCUUCUCUCUCCAGUUUCUCCUCUUCCCCCUGACUAAUCUCUCCAGUCCCUACCUUUGUUCUCUCUCUCAUACUCUGGUCUUGGAGGACUGCUAUAGUCCUAGAGAGUAAACAGGCAGUUCACUUAACUGGAUUGUCUAACCUGAGUCCUUCCUGCUCUGGCUCUAAGCCAUUAUGGUAAGAAUUGCUAAAUAACUGUGCCUUUGCUAAUACCCUGAGUAAGAAAAAUGCCCCAUUCUUUGUGUUUGAAGAACCAUCUUUGUGCCUAAGGUUGGGAACGCUGAAA